GAACGAGGAUAUAUCCUUCGGGAUAUAAGCCGAGUGGCACAAGGGUGAGCAAUGCAUAGAUUACCUACCUUUAGGAUAAGGGCAACUUUGUGAAAACGGAGCUAAUACUUAAUAAUACAAAAGAAAAUAAUUUUCUUUUGUCAAAGGGAGGGUAGCAAUACCUUUCGCCUAGAGAGGGGUUUAUGUCCUAUCAGCUUGUUGGUGGGGUAAUAGCCCACCAAGGCGAAGACGGGUAGCCGGUUUAAGAGGAUGGUCGGCCACACUGGGACUGAGACACUGCCCAGACUUCUACGGAAGGCUGCAGUCGAGAAUCUUUCGCAAUGCCCGAAAGGGUGACGAAGCGACGCCGCGUGGGUGAAGAAGGCCUUCGGGUUGUAAAGCCCUGUCAGGAGUUAUGAAAUGUAAGUGCGCUAAUAUCGUGCUUAUUUGACAAAGGCUCCAAAGGAAGCCACGGCUAACUCUGUGCCAGCAGCCGCGGUAAUACAGAGGUGGCGAGCGUUGUUCGGAAUUAUUGGGCGUAAAGAGCACGUAGGUGGGUUUGCAAGUCAGAUGUGAAAGCCUUCUGUUCAACGGAAGAAUUGCAUCUGAAACUGCUAAUCUUGAGUAUAGGAGGGGAGAAUGGAACUUCUGGUGGAGCGGUGAAAUGCGUAGAUAUCAGAAGGAACGCCGGCGGCGAAAGCGAUUCUCUGGCCUAUUACUGACACUCAGUGUGCGAAAGCUAGGGGAGCAAACGGGAUUAGAUACCCCGGUAGUCCUAGCCGUAAACGAUGGGCACUAAGUAGAGGGAAUUACCUAUAUUCUCUCUGCCGUAGCUAACGCAUUAAGUGCCCCGCCUGGGGAGUACGGCCGCAAGGCUAAAACUCAAAAGAAUUGACGGGGGCUCGCACAAGCGGUGGAGCAUGUGGCUUAAUUCGAUGCAACGCGAAAAACCUUACCGGGGCUUGACAUGAUAGAAGUAGGAACCUGAAAGGGGGACGAACGGUAUCCAGUCCGUAGCUAUCACAGGUGUUGCAUGGCUGUCGUCAGCUCGUGUCGUGAGACGUUGGGUUAAGUCCCCUAACGAGCGAAACCCUUGUUUUUAGUUACCAGCGGGUUAUGCCGGGUACUCUAGAAAGACUGCCGUCGUCAAGACGGAGGAAGGUGGGGAUGACGUCAGGUCAUCAUGGCCCUUAUGCCCCGGGCUGCACACGUGCUACAAUGGUCGGUACAGACGGAAGCGAAGCCGAGAGGUGAAGCGAAUCCUAAAAAGCCGAUCUCAGUUCGGAUUGGAGGCUGAAAUUCGCCUCCAUGAAGUUGGAACCGCUAGUAAUCGCGGAUCAGCAAUGUCGCGGUGAAUAUGUUCCCGAGCCUUGUACACACCGCCCGUCAAGCCACCCAAGCAGGAUGCACCCGAAAACAUUAUAUCUAACCAGGGCAACUUGGAGGAAAAUGUUGAAGGAGUGUUUUGUGAGGAGGACU
rnacentral:rRNA from 1 species